ACAAAUGUGAAGAGGAACUGGGGGUUGCAAGGUUCUGUAGGAAGAGCAAUGUAGCCGUGGCCACACAGAGAUGAAAGAGCCACAUUUUCCUAAAGUGGAAAAAGAUUGGUAAACUACAUGCAGACAGGAAGAACACAGGAGUUAUCUCCGAACCAAUGCCCUCCAAAUGAAGGAAGUAUUGCGACUGUAUUUUGGAGGAAUCUAUAUUAAUAUAAGAAUGCAUUUUAUGGGGUGUAAAUACUCUUUCUGGCUUUGAAGUUUUAUGACAAAAGGUGAAAAGUGUGGUGCAGAGGUCAGGGCAGUUGCUGCCUGAAAUGAAGACCUGAGUUCCAUUGCCUGAAUCCACAGGGUGGAAAGGACUUGUCCCUCCACGUCCUCAGGGGUGCUAUGGCAUGCAUCUCCCUACAGCCCUGAAAAAUAAUACAUGUAAAUUUUUUUUUUU